AUCCUCUGGUUCGUCUUCA
rnacentral:snRNA from 1 species